rnacentral:tRNA from 1 species
CCCUUGGAGGAUUAGUGGUUAGGCCACGGCGCUCUCACUGCCGUGGCUACCUGGGUUCGAUUCCCGGCCAGGGAA